rnacentral:rRNA from 1 species
UACAGAGGCCCCAAGCGUUGUUCGGAUUCACUGGGCGUAAAGGGUGCGUAGGUGGUGAGGUAAGUCGGAUGUGAAAGCUCCGAGCUCAACUCGGAAAUGGCAUUGGAAACUACCUUGCUAGAGGGUUUGAGGGGGGACUGGAAUACUUGGUGUAGCAGUGAAAUGCGUAGAUAUCAAGUGGAACACCAGUGGCGAAGGCGAGUCCCUGGAAAACUCCUGACACUGAGGCACGAAAGCUAGGGGAGCAAACAGG